rnacentral:rRNA from 1 species
UACGUAGGGGGCAAGCGUUGUCCGGAAUCAUUGGGCGUAAAGAGCGUGUAGGCGGUCCGGUCAGUCGGUUGUGAAAGUCAAGGGCUCAACCCUUGAAUGCCGGCCGAUACUGCCGGGCUAGAGUCCGGAAGAGGAGAAUGGAAUUCCUGGUGUAGCGGUGGAAUGCGCAGAUAUCAGGAGGAACACCGAUGGCGAAGGCAGCUCGCUGGGACGGUACUGACGCUGAGGCGCGAAAGCGUGGGGAGCGAACAGG